GACGAACGCUGGCGGCGUGCUUAACACAUGCAAGUCGAACGCUGAAGCUCAGCUUUUGUUGGGUGGAUGAGUGGCGAACGGGUGAGUAACACGUGAGUAACCUGCCCCCUUCUUUGGGAUAACGCCCGGAAACGGGUGCUAAUACUGGAUAUUCACUGGUCUUCGCAUGGGGGUUGGUGGAAAGGGUUUUUCUGGUGGGGGAUGGGCUCGCGGCCUAUCAGCUUGUUGGUGGGGUGAUGGCCUACCAAGGCUUUGACGGGUAGCCGGCCUGAGAGGGUGACCGGUCACAUUGGGACGGAGAUACGGCCCAGACUCCUACGGGAGGCAGCAGUGGGGAAUAUGGCAGAAUGGGCGCAAGCCUGAUGCAGCGACGCCGCGUGAGGGAUGGAGGCCGUCGGGUUGUGAACCUCUUUCGCUCAUGGUCAAGCCGCAACAAUGGUUGUGGUGAGGGUAGUGGGUAAAGAAGCGCCGGCUAACUACGUG
rnacentral:rRNA from 1 species